rnacentral:ncRNA from 1 species
UUCGACAAAGGCAAACCUAUCGAAAGAUAGGGACGCAAAGCCACAGGGCCUUUCGCAAGAAUGGCAGCCUGGCCACCGAAA